GAGUUUGAUCCUGGCUCAGAUUGAACGCUGGCGGCAUGCCUUACACAUGCAAGUCGAACGGCAGCACGGGAGCUUGCUCCUGGUGGCGAGUGGCGAACGGGUGAGUAAUGCAUCGGAACGUAUCCUGGAGUGGGGGAUAACGUAGCGAAAGUUACGCUAAUACCGCAUAUUCUGUGAGCAGGGAAAGCGGGGGGACCUUCGGGCCUCGCGCUCUUGGAGCGGCCGAUGUCGGAUUAGCUAGUUGUGAGGUAAAGGCUCACCAAGGCGACGAUCCGUAGCAGGUCUGAGAGGAUGAUCUGCCACACUGGAACUGAGACACGGUCCAGACUCCUACGGGAGGCAGCAGUGGGAAUUUUGGACAAUGGGGGCAACCCUGAUCCAGCCAUGCCGCGUGAGUGAAGAAGGCC
rnacentral:rRNA from 1 species